UACAGAGGUCUCAAGCGUUGUUCGGAUUCAUUGGGCGUAAAGGGCGCGUAGGCGGCUUGUUUAGUCGGGUGUGAAAUCCCGGGGCUCAACCCCGGAACUGCAUUCGAUACUGGCAGGCUAGAGACCGGAAGAGGUGGGUGGAAUACCCAGUGUAGAGGUGAAAUUCGUAGAUAUUGGGUGGAACACCGGUGGCGAAGGCGACUCUUUGGCCUGUAACUGACGCUGAGGCGCGAAAGCGUGGGGAGCAAACAGG
rnacentral:rRNA from 1 species